AGAUGAAGAAAUGAAAAAGUUGAAGAAAUUGAUUUGAUUGAUGAAUUUCACGUUUUUUUUCAUCACAGAUUUAAUAUAUGACUUCUAACAAAAUAGUAUAACAAUUGCUAUCUGAUUGUAAUUUUAUAGUUUUGAAAAGGAAAAAAAAAAUUAAGUGACAGAGGUGGUAAUCAUCAGAAGUAUCUCAGAAGUAAUAUAAUUAGCUAUCUUGGCUAUAUUGAGAUCAAAUCAAAGAAAAAUUAUUACGGAAGAAUAUUACACUUUUAAAAAUUGUGAAAAAAUUUAGGAGACAUUCUAUUGAUUGGAACAUCUUUCAUAGUCUCAGAAUAAUUAAAAACAUCUGUUGGAGGAAAACAAGAAAUUUAAUAUAACUCGAAAAUAUAUGGAGAAUCGACGUAACAUUAUGAAUAUAUUUUUUUGUCAUUAUCGUCGUAUCCUAUUCAGAAAGAGUAGAAGAAAAGAAAAAUUUUCAACAUCUGCAUGUAAGGAUUCGAUAAGAACGACUAGAAAAAGUCAGAACUCGUUGCACAGUGGUAUAGAAUCAAUUUACUAGGUUCGUUAUUGGUUGACUUCUUUAUUUUCCCAGAAAAGAAAACAAAAUUCUAAGAAAAAGAAAAAAAAAUCAAAAGAAGAUAAAAAAAUAAAAUCUUAUUAAAAUAUUUCAUUUUUCCAUUCACAACUUCGUUUUGAUUGAUCAUUUUUCAACAAAAAAAAUUCUCAAGAAAAUCAAGAAUUUCUCAAAAGAAAAAAAAAAUGAAAAGACGAAAAAGAACUCGAAAAUCGACCUCGGUCCGGCGGAAAAAUUGAUUCAGCACAGUCUGGAGAGUCAUGGCGAGUAUGAGAGAAGAGCUGGGGGCGCGUGUGCGCAGUUCUCUUAACCAACAUGUCCGCCCGGGUGCUCUGGAUAGUCAUGGUUAUGCAGCGCGAUCCGUUACACAUCUUCGUCAGCUGAAUCCUUGGUUUUUGUACUGCAUACAUCCGCGAGGUGCGUGUAUUGUAAAAGAGGUUGGCUUAGAGUCCAGUCUCUAAAUCUUUGCCUCCUAGUGGAGGAUUACCUCCAGGUUGAGCCGGUUGUGAUUCCCGGCAGUGCACGAGGUGCGAGCAACCACGGGGAUACUGGAGCCGUGGCACGACGAAUAGCCAGAGUACUCAAGAGAGUGGAGAAUCGCGGGAGAACCAGGGAGAGACAGAGACAGGUAGAUCCUUACUAGCGGUGAAAUACGAAGCGGGAAAGAGAGGGAGAAGCUUGAGGCAGGCGCGCGUAUUGAUUCCCGCGUGACGUUUAUACGGUGAGGUGAGAAAGCUGCAACCGGAAGAGUCGUGCCGUUUCCUUCGCCGCUGAAAAACUGAACGGGGAAGAUACGGAUUCGAGCAACAAUUUGGAGUUCCUCGUUUUUGAGCCUUGUCCACUGGAAGGAGAUUGGAGAUCAGUGGACCAAAAUGAGAGAGGUCCAAGUCUGCUCGAGCAGGGACCCGUUGGCCCUUCGCGCGAGAAAUGAUUUUUA